UGUUUUUUCCUGGGUGAAGCUUGGUGUUCAGAUGCCCUGGUUAGAUUGUCUGCUGUGAUGACAUCAGGAGGUUGCCUAGUUACCGUCUGAAGCGGCCGGGCGCACAGGAAGUGCGUAACGCUGAUGGGUGUCGUCAGAGGACCCGACGCCGAGGACGAUGGCGGGGACACACGAGGUGUGUUACAACAGUUCCUUGCAGUGAAAUUCUCACCAACGUACAUUCACUCUGAAGAUCAUGUACAGUACAAACGUCAUACCUGAUGAAGGCACGUGGGAAGCACUCUGACAUUAUCUGUCUGUUCAAGCCCUUCUUGGAUGAGAGAAAAGAGAGAGUCUCGAAGUUGCUUUUGAUUCCUGUGUUCAAGGCUGGGAUUUGACCCAGGCGUGGCCAGAUCAGGAGCAGCAUCUGCGCACUUCUGGUCAUCUGAAACAGAUACAUCGGCUGAAAGCUCCACAUAGAAAGUGUCGGACCUGCUGCAAAGUUCACCAUAAAGAGGUGCACUAUCAACUAGAAAGAGUGAAGCACAAUACAUGUACACUGAAGGAUGUCAAAUUAUACAGAAUAAAAUAGCUUAUCUGUG